GAGUUUGAUCAUGGCUCAGAACGAACGUUGGCGGCGUGCUUAACACAUGCAAGUCGAGCGAGAAAACCCUCGCAAGGGGGUGAGUAAAGCGGCGCACGGGUGAGUAACACGUGGGUGACGUGCCCUCCGUUGGGGGAUAACACCUCGCAAGGGGUGCUAAUACCGCGUACGACCCUUCGACCACGGUUGGAGGGUGAUAGGAGCAAUCCGGCGGAGGAUCGGCCCGCGGCCCAUCAGCUUGUUGGCGGGGUAAAGGCCCACCAAGGCGAUGACGGGUAGCUGGUCUGAGAGGAUGGCCAGCCACACUGGAACUGGGACACGGUCCAGACUCCUACGGGAGGCAGCAGUGGGGAAUCUUGCGCAAUGGGCGAAAGCCUGACGCAGCGACGCCGCGUGGGUGACGAAGGCCUUCGGGUUGUAAAGCCCUGUGGGAGGGACGAACAAGCAGCAAUGCCCUGACGGUACCUCCUUAGCAAGCACCGGCCAACUCCGUGCCAGCAGCCGCGGUAAGACGGAGGGUGCAAACGUUGUUCGGAAUUACUGGGCGUAAAGCGCGUGUAGGCGGUCCGAAAAGUCGGAUGUGAAAUCCCUCGGCUCAACCGAGCGAACUGCAUUCGAUACUGCCGGACUGGAGUUCGGGAGAGGGAAGCGGAAUUCCCGGUGUAGAGGUGAAAUUCGUAGAUAUCGGGAGGAACACCGGUGGCGAAGGCGGCUUCCUGGAC
rnacentral:rRNA from 1 species